UAGGGAAUCUUCGGCAAUGGGGGCAACCCUGACCGAGCAACGCCGCGUGAGUGAAGAAGGUUUUCGGAUCGUAAAGCUCUGUUGUAAGAGAAGAACGUGUGUGAGAGUGGAAAGUUCACACAGUGACGGUAACUUACCAGAAAGGGACGGCUAACUACGUGCCAGCAGCCGCGGUAAUACGUAGGUCCCGAGCGUUGUCCGGAUUUAUUGGGCGUAAAGCGAGCGCAGGCGGUUUAAUAAGUCUGAAGUUAAAGGCAGUGGCUUAACCAUUGUUCGCUUUGGAAACUGUUAAACUUGAGUGCAGAAGGGGAGAGUGGAAUUCCAUGUGUAGCGGUGAAAUGCGUAGAUAUAUGGAGGAACACCGGUGGCGAAAGCGGCUCUCUGGUCUGUAACUGACGCUGAGGCUCGAAAGCGUGUGGAGCAAACAGG
rnacentral:rRNA from 1 species